rnacentral:rRNA from 1 species
UACGUAGGGUGCGAGCGUUAAUCGGAAUUACUGGGCGUAAAGCGUGCGCAGGCGGUUCGUUGUGUCGGCGGUGAAAGCCCCGGGCUCAACCUGGGAAUGGCGAUGGAUACUGGCUCGCUAGAGUGCGGUAGAGGAGAGUGGAAUUUCCGGUGUAGCGGUGAAAUGCGUAGAUAUCGGAAGGAACAUCAGUGGCGAAAGCGACUUCCUGGACCAGUACCGACGUUCAGGCACGAAAGCGUGGGGAGCAAACAGG